rnacentral:rRNA from 1 species
CCUACGGGGGGCAGCAGUGGGGAAUAUUGGGCAAUGGGCGCAAGCCUGACCCAGCAACGCCGCGUGAAGGAAGAAGGCUUUCGGGUUGUAAACUUCUUUUCUCAGGGACGAAGCAAGUGACGGUACCUGAGGAAUAAGCCACGGCUAACUACGUGCCAGCAGCCGCGAUAAUACGUAGGUGGCAAGCGUUAUCCGGAUUUACUGGGUGUAAAGGGCGUGUAGGCGGGAAAGCAAGUCAGAUGUGAAAACCAUGGGCUCAACCUGUGGACUGCAUUUGAAACUGUUUGUCUUGAGUAUUGGAGAGGCAGGCGGAAUUCCUAGUGUAGCGGUGAAAUGCGUAGAUAUUAGGAGGAACACCAGUGGCGAAGGCGGUCUGCUGGACGGCAACUGACGCUGAGGCGCGAAAGCGUGGGGAGCAAACAGGAUUAGAUACCCGUGUAGUC